rnacentral:rRNA from 1 species
UACGAAGGGGGCUAGCGUUGCUCGGAAUCACUGGGCGUAAAGCGCACGUAGGCGGAUCUUUAAGUCAGGGGUGAAAUCCUGGAGCUCAACUCCAGAACUGCCUUUGAUACUGAGGAUCUUGAGUCCGGGAGAGGUGAGUGGAACUCCGAGUGUAGAGGUGAAAUUCGUAGAUAUUCGGAAGAACACCAGUGGCGAAGGCGGCUCACUGGCCCGAUACUGACGCUGAGGCACGAAAGCGUGGGGAGCAAACAGG